AUGAGGAAGGCGCCCGCAGCGGCCUCCAAGCCCAAGCCCAGGGCGAGGGCGAGGGCGAAGCCCAAGGCGAAGGCCAGCCCCGACUCCCUCUCCAGCGCCACGUCGCCGUCCCGCAGCGGCGGGUCUCCCGUCGCAGUCGGCCGCGGCCUCCUCUCGCCCUCCUCGCCGGCGACGCCCAAGGCCAGGCCCCCCCUCUCCCCGUUCGCCGCAUCCACGCCGGCCUCCGUGUCCACCGUCGGCGACCUGAGGAGCCUCGCCGCCUCGAGCCUCGACUCGCUCAAGCGCCGCCUCGACGCGCUCCACGGCGACUCCGCCCGCGACCUCGAGGCCUCCCACUCCCGAAUCUCCAAGCGCAUCAAGAUGCAGACGCAGAGCUGCCUCAAGCUGGCGGAGGAGGCGGAGAAGGAGCGUAAGGAGAUGGCCGAGAGGAUCUCCGGGCGCGCCGAGGAGAUGAAGGCAUCGUACAAGAAGUUCCUGACAGAGGUGCAGUCGUCUUCGUCUCGUGCGUCCAAGGUGACCUUCCCUGAGAUGGCAAAGUCCGUGGCCAGAGCUAUCGAUGGAUUGCGCAGUCGCUACAACAUCCCAGCUACGCCAGCUUAG
rnacentral:rRNA from 1 species